CUUAUGCAAUCACCUCUUUGAUUGACAACAUAUCCAAACUUCAUUAAUUAUUUACAUCACUGCUCUAUGAUCGAAGCUCGGUUUCAACGUUUCCUCAACAUCACUGUAUCUAUGUGUACAAUAUCCUCCACAGGGCUUCAUGGACAUCAUAACUAUGCAACCAGUUUUUUCCUCACAUGUGUGGAAGAAGAGAAGAAGAUUUUUGAAAAGGACAAGAGCGUACAAGGCCUGACAAAUCCCCCGUACCCAGGAUUUUGAAAUCGCACAUGAACAUAUAAAAAUUCUUUACAUUUGAAAUUGUGCAUCAGUACAUGUACAUGUAUAAUAUAGAACUGCAUUCUCUGACAAAUAAAUAAUAUACAUUAAUUCAUAUACUUGGUACUUA